rnacentral:lncRNA from 1 species
UAUUCUUCUUCCUUCUUCCCUCUCACGUUUCUUCAUCCUCCGAGGGAGUCCUCUUCAAGCUUCCAUAACUUUCUCUCUCUAGCUCUAAUUUUCAUGCCUCGGUGCACCUUUUCAUGAAAUCCUUGUGCUCUUUCACUUUCUCACUUUAAAACCCUUGAAAAAUCUUACUUUCAUACUUUUUCUCACUAGCUAAGUGUUUAGAGAGAGAAAGAGAGAGAAAGCUCCCAUAAUAGCUUGGAAAAUUUAUUGAACAGAAUUUCAAAGUUUCAAGCUACCAAGGUGAGUAGGGGGUGUCAAUUUUAAAAAUUUUCAUAAAUAUAUACCUAUAAAUAUGAUUUAUUUUAAUUGCGAAAAUUAUGGAUAACAUGUGCUGGUAGAUAUUUUAGGGAAUUGUGAAUGUUUGUGGUUGAGGUUGAGGUUAUCCACUCAUGUUAGAGUGAUUAGGGUAGUGAAAAUAGAUAGCCAUUUAAAUGGCAAUUGGAAGCUAGCUAAGAGAAAGCUUUAGACUUUAUAAGUAUGUGAAUUGACAAAUUGGUGAUGCUAAUGUGAUGAUAGGUUCCAAUGAAGCCCCAUCAUCCCAUUUGGACAAUUAGGGAAGUUAGGAUCGGCUAAUGGCUCAAAUAAUACCGGUGAGUGGACUUGCAUUUCAAAAUUUGUUUUGGGAAUGUGAAUGUAAUUGUACAAAGGAACAAGUCUUUGGUGAAGUGUUUUUAUCUUGUGAAAAUGUUCUAUAUAAAUGGUUUAUGUGUUAUCACAAUAUGAUGAUAUGUAUAAUAUGCAUUUGGUGUUUCUUUCAUAUGUUGAUGUGGACCCGGCUAUGUGCGAGUAGGAGUGCGCAUACGUCGAUGAUGACCCGACUAUGUGUGAGUAGGAGUGCACAUAAGUCGAUGAUGACCUAGCUAUGUGCGAGUAGGAGUGUGCAUAAGCCGAUGCUGACCCAGCCAUGUACUAGUGGGGAGUGCAUAUGAGCUGAUGACGAUGGGAGAGUGUGCAUGAUGAUGGAUAUAUAUAUAUAUAUAUAUAUAUACAUAUAUAGAUAUGUUUGUCAUGGAAUGUUCAUGAAUAUGUAUAUGGUUGAAAUGCAUGUGAAAUUUGACAUGUUCAGCUUUAGGAAUUUAUAUGUGUUUCAUGUUGCAUUUGUCAUGUGAACAGGGUGGCUUUUUCUUGAGGAAAUGGGGAAUUUUUGCUGAUGCCCUAUUUCUCGCUGUGGCGAGAUUCAUUCUCACUGCAGCGAGAAACUCUUGGGUUUUCGAGGGUUUCACUAGACAUGGUUCUCGCUGCAGCGAAAAACUUUCUGUUUCACUUAGUAUCUUGAUCAAUUGCUGCGCUAUUUUCCACUUCUUUGGUACCAUAGUUGAGCAUGGACUUCCAACAUUAAGGAAUAAACAAAUUAAGUUUAAAAUGAGGGGUUUGGUGAGAAACCCUCAGCCAGCUAAGAAACCCUCGGCCAGUUGAUAAUUUAAGUCAAAUGUCACUGCAGCGAGGACCCGUUAUCUACUUGACUUGAAUUGCAUGAAAGUUAUUAAAGUUUUCAUUCUUCAAAUCUUUUGUUGAGCAUGGACCCUUUACAUUAAGUGAUUUAAUCAAUUGCGGUUUUCUUGAGGGGUUUUGAUAAGCACUAAAUUAAAUUGCAUUAUUUUGAAAUAAGCGCAUCAUGAUUUUUAAAUUCUUCCUUACUGUUACUUGUUCCCUUCCUUGUUCACUCAUUGGGUUUGUACUUACCGUUUUCAACUUCAUGUUUUUAGAUCACGAGGUAGCUGAUAACUAGGUCGAAGUGUCUUCGUAUAUUUGACCCUUGGUAGGUGUCUCGGCAUUCAGUAGCUGUACAUUCGUUCGAGUCUUUCCGCUGGGAGUGGAGUACUCUUUUGUUGUGUAUAGACAGACCCAAUGUAAAUUAUUAAGACAUAUGUUUAGACAACACCUGUAUAUUAGUUGAUAAUGCCAUUAUAAGUCAAAAAUGAAUAGCAUUAACUAGAUUUUAAAUUAUGAAAUGUGACUUUAGUAAUUUG